UGCUUGCUUCGGCAGCACAUAGAUUAAAUUAGAACAAUAUACAGAAGAUUAGUACAGCCUCUGUGCAAGGAUGACACGCAAAUUUGUCAAAUGUUCCAUAUUUUU